GGCAGGUAUGUGAACAACAAAGGCAGAGAAAAUGAGAGGAGAUUUAUGGGAAGCAGGAAGGGAAGUGGGGAAUAAGUUCAAGAAAAGGAGUUUACAAGACGAGGCAUGAUGAUAACGAUGAUGAUGAUGAAUUCAAAAGGAGGAUUGGACUGGUUCAAAGAGAAGGAAGAGAGAGAGAAAGAGAGGUCAAACCUCCUUUCUAGAGAGACUGCCCUCCUAACCUCUUUUCCUUCCUUUCUC
rnacentral:misc_RNA from 1 species